UCUUAAUUUACAAGGAAAAUGAGGGCCUCAGCAGUGAAGUGUCAACUUAUUUCCUGUCUUGGAGGAGUAGAUGGCACUUCUCCCUCCCAAGGCUUCUGUUUCUGUGCCCAACCCCUGCCCUCCUGGAAAUGAAAUGCUUGGCACUCUUCCAUCCAUGCUGAAGAUCUCUGGUGGUGUCCACCAGCCUAGGUGCUCCCAUGUCUUUGUUCCCUGUGCUACGCCUGCUCCUUGGAAUACCCGCUCACCUCUUCUUGACUUUAUGAAGUGCUACUGAGCCUUCAAGACUUACGGACAAUGUCUCCUUUUUGGUGAGUUUUUUCC